rnacentral:rRNA from 1 species
ACGGAAGGCAGCAGUGGGGAAUAUUGCACAAUGGGCGAAAGCCUGAUGCAGCGACGCCGCGUGAGUGAUGAAGUAUUUCGGUAUGUAAAGCUCUAUCAGCAGGGAAGAUAAUGACGGUACCUGACUAAGAAGCACCGGCUAAAUACGUGCCAGCAGCCGCGGUAAUACGUAUGGUGCAAGCGUUAUCCGGAUUUACUGGGUGUAAAGGGAGCGCAGGCGGUACGGCAAGUCUGAUGUGAAAGCCCGGGGCUCAACCCCGGUACUGCAUUGGAAACUGUCGAACUAGAGUGUCGGAGGGGUAAGUGGAAUUCCUAGUGUAGCGGUGAAAUGCGUAGAUAUUAGGAAGAACACCAGUGGCGAAGGCGAUCUACUGGACAGUAACUGACGCUGAGGCGCGAAAGCGUGGGGAGCAAACAGGAUUAGAUACCCUGGUA